rnacentral:rRNA from 2 species
CGGGACCCGCACAAGCAGCGGAGCAUGUGGUUUAAUUCGAAGCAACGCGAAGAACCUUUACCAGGACUUGACAUCCCUCUGACAGUCCCUUAACCGGGAUUCUCCUUCGGGCAGAGGUGACAGGUGGUGCAUGGUUGUCGUCAGCUCGUGUCGUGAGAUGUUGGGUUAAGUCCCGCAACGAGCGCAACCCUUGUCUUUAGUUGCCAUCAUUUAGUUGGGCACUCUAGAGAGACUGCCGAGGAUAAACUCGGAGGAAGGUGGGGAUGACGUCAAAUCAUCAUGCCCCUUAUGUUCUGGGCUACACACGUGCUACAAUGGCUGGUACAAAGAGACGCAAGACGGUGACGUGGAGCAAAUCUCAAAAACCAGUCCCAGUUCGGAUUGUAGGCUGCAACUCGCCUACAUGAAGUUGGAGUUGCUAGUAAUCGCAGAUCAGAAUGCUGCGGUGAAUGCGUUCCCGGGUCUU